rnacentral:rRNA from 1 species
CGGACGGGUGAGUAACGCGUGGGUAACCGUGCCCUGUACAGGGGGAGUAACAGUUAGAAAUGACUGCUAUCACCGCAUAAGCGCACGGUAAAGGCAUCUUAGUGUGUGAAAAUAAUUAAUAGGUACAGGAUGGGCCCGCGUCUGAUUAGCCAGUUGGCAGGGUAACGGCCUACCAAAGCGACGAUCAGUAGCCGGCUUGAGAGAGUGAACGGCCACAUUGGGACUGAGACACGGCCCAAACUCCUACGGAAGGCAGCAG